UGAUCCUUUUUAAGCCGAAGGAUCACCUAGCCAACUGACGUUGUUAGUGAACCAAAUUUGUUCAUAUUGAUAGCCAAUCACGACCUUGUGAUUGGCUUUUUUUAU
rfam:Vibrio sp. MEBiC08052 genomic scaffold scaffold00001, whole genome shotgun sequence.